GCCUCAUUGGCUCAGGGGCUGAGCGUCUGUCUUGUAAACAGAAGGUCGCUGGUUCGAUUCCAGCAUGAGGCA
rnacentral:tRNA from 1 species